CCUCCUCCUCCUCCUCCUCCUCCGUACGCAUUCUCAUUCUUGUUAUUAUUUGUUAGAAAGGAAGGAAUCCCAUUUCCUCUCUCUCUUUCUCUCUCUAGGUAAUGCUUUCUGGUAAGAAAUCUUGAUAGCCAUUUUGUCUCAUUAUUGUACACUUUUUCUUUAUUGUACACUUUUUCUUUGCUUUCCAAUCUAUGGGCUUUUCUUUUCUUCUUUAUUUAUUUUUUCUUCCUCUUUUUUCCUGGGUAUAGAUUUUGUUUUGAUCACUGUAAUCCAUGGCAACCAUUUAUUUUUGUUUUACUUUAGAACACUCUUUUGUGUGAUUGAAUUUGCCUUUCUUUUAAAUGAUACGAUUACUAGUAUUUCAAUUACUUGAUUGAAUUUGCCUUUCUUUUAAAUGAUACGAUUACUAGUAUUUCAAUUACUGUCAGGAAAACCGGUUAAUUAUUGGGUUAUCUUUUUUCGAUUACUACGGUUUGCUUUGAGUCAGCUUAAUCUUCAGCAGCAGACUUUGAUUGGGGAGAAAUUUUUAUCAGUGGCCUUAGCUUAUUUUUAAUCUGAAAAGAUUGAACCGCAUUGUUGUUGGUAUGAGCUUGUAACUUAAUUUUCAUGCUCCUUUUUCUCAAAUAAGCCCUCAUUUUGUUGACACAAACCGUGUUCUGCAGCAGCUGCCUCUCUGCUUUUAUUUUUAAGUUCUUCCAGAAAUGUUGCCUCCAAUUGUUGUUGGUGCAGAUAUCUUGUCUUCGAAGCUUUAGUUUUUAUAUGGUCAUGUUGUUAGUUUUUUCUUGACGACAUGUUCAUUGAUCAAUUAAAGGCCUUUUCAUUUUUCAUUUUCACUACUCAGAUUCUGCUUUAUUUCUACCUUAGAAAAUCUUUCCUUCUGGUUGUCUUGUGCAUGGAUACUUAUAUCUUCUAUUAUUAUUUUGUUUUGGAUGCUUAUAAGAUUUAAAAAAAAAAAUCUUUUUCUUCUCACACUUGGUUCCCAUUUCCUUUAUAGAGUAUAUAUGGGCUGAUUUCGACUUUUCAUGGGAGUUGUGGAGGAUAAUGAACCACCCUUUAAGCGUGUGAAGGUGCCCAUAGGAGAAUCAAAAAACUUCUUGGAGCAUUCUUCUGUUACAGAACCUGUAGCUUGCUCAUUGGGAGACUUGAUGGUUCGGCCUUUAACCUCCCAAGGGGAUGGAGAAACAGUUGGUUCACGAGGAGUCAUUAAAAGAUUGGAAUUUGUCAAAAUCAUAACUAGGACAUUAUACUCACUUGGUUAUGACAAGAGUGGGGCCCUUUUGGAGGAAGAAUCGGGAAUACCCUUGCACUCAUCGGUGGUUGGCUUGUUUAUGAAGCAAGUGAUUGAUGAACAAUGGGAUGAAAGUGUGGCCACAUUACAUAAAAUUGGUAUUUUGGAUGAAACGACUGUGAAAUUGGCAUCUUUCAUUCUAUGGGAGCAGAAGUUCCUCAAACUUCUAAAAAUGGAUAAUGUUGUUGCUGCACUUGAUACUCUAAGGAAUGAGAUUGUGCCUCUUCAUAUUAAUUUGAACCGUGUACAUGAGCUUGCCACGUGCAUUAUCUCUCCUUCACGGUGUUUAAUUUUUGGUCAGGAUACCAAGGAUGCAAAUUCAAGGGCGAUGAUUCUAGAAAAACUACAGAAGCUGUUACCUCCUACGGUCAUGAUUCCUGAGAAAAGGUUAGAACAUCUUGUCGAGAAGGCUCUUGAUGUGCAACGCGAUUCUUGUGUGUUCCACAAUACCUUGGAUAGUGAUCUGUCAUUGUACUCAGAUCAUCAAUGCGGAAGAAACCAGAUUCCUUCUCAAACAAUGCAGAUUCUUGAAGCACACAAUGAUGAAGUUUGGUUUUUGCAAUUUUCACAUAAUGGCAAAUAUUUGGCCUCAUCAUCCAAGGAUCAGUCUGCAGUCAUAUGGGAGGUUAGUGUUUCUUUAUUACUCUUGGCUUAUGAUCAUAGCUAGAUUAAUCUUUUAUUUGUUGGUCUGAGGUUCUUUCACCUCAAUCUAGCAGCAGUCAUGCGUGGAUUCUUGGUUUUAUGAAUAUUGUUUAUGAUGAUGAUAUAUAUACAACAUCAAGAGAUUUCAUUAUUUCUUAUAAAAAAGAGUUUAAAUGCAAAUAAGAGUUAAAGAUGUUUGAUUAGAUUUUUUUGUAUUUUAUGAAGAGAAAAACUGAAAACUUGGGGAGAGCUAGCUCAAAAGGAUUAACUAUCAAUUUUGACUGAAACCAUUAUCUUUAUGUUAUCUAUAGUACAAGGUACAAUAAAUAUAUCAAAUGCUAGUUGGUUUGACAUAUUUCUAGUAGUUCUCUCCCUUCCCUUGGACCUAUCAUUUAUGUUGAUACUUUUCGAAUUAAUUUUUUCUUCUGUAACUUUGCGAAUCUGCAGUAAUUUUGUAGAUUAAUUGCUUUGCUAAAUAUUGGCUAGAUCAAACUGGGCAAAAGGCCAAAAGGGUAUUCGUGUCAAAGUUUAUAAAUUCUUCCAAAGUCAUUGAACAUGAUCUUGACUCAAGUAAGUUUGGGCAUCAUGGUCUUGCAGUAUGCCUACAAUGAUUCUACCUGUUAGUUAGAAAUUUAUUAUUGUAAUAUUUGUAUUAAUAUAGCUCCUUGUUUACAUUGAAUUUUAAGGGAUGUAUCAGAAUAUCAGAUGACGAUAUGAGAACAAGGGAAAAUUGGCUACAAUUUCAGUCAACUGGCUAUAAUUUUUAUCAAUUUCUAUAAUCCAGCUAAAAUUGAUAAAAUUAAAGGAUUGCUAUAAAUUGAAAUUACAUGAAAAGUUUGGACUUUUUCUUGGUCACUUGGCCUUCAGUUUAAUGUUAGUUUGAAACUUGUUCUGCUAUUAUCAACAGUUAGCAUUAUGUGAAGGGCAUAAUGUUAUUAGCAUCAAGGAUGGACAUAAAGCAAGAACUUUGGAACAGGAGAUGAAACAAAAAAGAGGAAUGGCAUAAUAAUAAGAUCUCAAUUUCAAAACAAAAAAGGGUAGGCAGUAAGCCAAAUAGAUACCCUUAUUGAAUAUCGAAAGUUAGAUUGUAUGGAACUAUGGGAUUUUAUUAUAACACAAGGGGAUAAUGUCAAUGUUCUUGUGAUGCCAUGAAGCAAUGGGUUUCCAGAUGCUCUGGGCUUUAAUAUUUAGCUGUCUUACGUUAUUGGCCAGAGAUUGUCAUGAUGUUUUGGUCACAGUAACCAUUUUUUUCUUUUCUCUUCAUUGCUUGUGUGCUUUUCUUGAUGAUCUUUUGUAAUAACUGGAUGUUUUAGGAUAUAAAUAAUGGUUUUGAAGACAAAUGUUUCGUACUUUCUUUUGAAUUUUUAUGUUAGGGCUAGUGAUUCAGAAAAAAUAAAAACUUUGGUUCAAGCAUCAGUUAUGACCAAUUCUUUCUUUUCCAUAUCAAUUAUAUACACGUAUUUCAUGAAUUCAUCAUUGCUAUCAAUUAGGGCCAUCUAGAGAAGGCAUGUAUUGGAACACCUCAAGUGUUGGUGUAUGUUGUUUGUGCGUAAAUUAUGAAAAAGUGAGUGGUAUUAAGUUGUUAACACUGGAAAGUGAAAUAAACAUUUUUUUCCCUUUUUUCCUUUGGAUACACCAGACACCUCCUCUAGAUUGGUCAUAAUUGAGACUAAUGUUAAAGUAGGCAAAAAUAAUUAGUACACAAAAAAAAAAUUGAUACGGACCAAAGUUUUGGAUUUUUUGGGACAUUAUCCCUUUAUUCUAAUAUAACUAGCUACAGUUAUGAGUAGAGCUAAUUUAGCUCUCUUUUUAAUUAGCAUGUUUAAUUAUUGUAGGUUAAAGAGGAUGGUCAAGUGUCAUUGAAGCAUAUAUUAAAGGGUCAUCAGAAACCAGUGUCGACUGUUUCAUGGAGCCCUGAUGACAACCAACUCCUUACCUGUGGACAGGAAGAGGUUAUCAGACGCUGGGAUGCCAGUUCUGGAGAAUGCAUCCAUGUUUAUGAAAAAGCCGGUGUUGGUUUGGUUUCCUGUGGAUGGUUUCCUGAUGGCAUGGGGAUAUUUUCUGGAAUGACUGACAAGAGCAUCUGCUUGUGGGAUUUGGAUGGAAAGGAGCUAGAAUGUUGGAAAGGGCAGAGGGCAGUCAGGAUAUCAGACACAGCCAUAACUGAUGAUGGAAAGAGGAUCAUAAGCAUAUGCAGAGAUACUGCCAUACUGUUGCUUGACAGGGAAGUGAAAUUUGAGAGGCUGAUUGAAGAGGAGGAGAUUAUUACUUCAUUCUCGCUAUCAAAAGACAAUAAAUUCCUUCUGGUUAAUCUUAUAAACCAAGAAAUCCAUCUGUGGAGCAUCGAAGGCAAUCCCAAGAUUAUUUCCAAGUAUAAAGGUCACACACGCACACGAUUUGUUAUCAGAUCUUGCUUUGGUGGAUUUGAGCAAGCAUUUAUUGCAAGUGGGAGUGAGGAUUCUCAGGUACUGUCCUUCUUCUUUUUUUAUUUUUGAUUACAGCUGCUGAAUUCAAUAACAAUGAGGAAGUUGUCUGCUUCUGAUAAAUGAUACCAUGGCGGAAUAUGUUUUUACAGUUUUCCUGAACUAGUUUUGCCUGUGCGUUGAUGUUAUUUCAUUUUGACCUUAUGAAGGUAUUACCCAAAUAUUAUGUUUUGUGUAUGUGUUGUGCAUUGAAUGUCAGAUGGCCAGUUCAUAAAAGGUGCAAUAUGUGGUAUCUCUUUGGAAAUGUUUGCUGCAAAUCAUUGCCUUCUUGCUGUAUAACUGUGUCCAUGGAGAUGGUUUCUUAUGAAUGCUUUUGAUACAAAUUUUUUUAUGUUGAGUUAAAACUGAGGAGAAAGAAAUAACUGAAGGUGCUUCAAGUAGCUUGAACACAGCUUAGCAUUGAGCAUUGGCAUUGAAUGGGACACCACCAUUGACCCUGGGUAACUCUUUCACGUAAUGAUGUUAUUUCCACCAGUGCAAUAUUCUAUAUUCCAUUCCUAGGUGGGCAGAAGCAGCAGCAGCUUGCACCCAAUCAUAAGUCUACAUGCAUACUUGUAUGAGAGAUACGGUGCACAUUGUAACCAAGCAUGUGUUGUUUAACGAAUUUAAGGUCUUCCAUCGGAUUUUUCUUAAAUGGAUUAAUAUGCUUUUUUAUCUUUUAAGAUGACUUUGGAUUGACAAUCAAGGUGUUAAAUUUCUUGUUGCAGGUAUAUAUAUGGCAUAGAGGCUCUGGAGAACUCCUAUUGGCGCUGCCUGGGCAUUCUGGGGCUGUAAACUCUGUGAGCUGGAAUCCAGCAAAUCUUCACAUGUUGGCUUCAGGCAGUGAUGACCGUACAAUUCGAAUAUGGGGUUUAAAUCACUACAACCUAAAGCAAAGAGCCCAGAGCAACGGCAUUGUUCAGCCAUGCAAUGGGAGAAGCUGAAACAUUUUUUAAACAGUUACAGAGUGCCUCACAAGUUACCAAGAUACUGAUGCUGUUCAAGUUUAUUGACAUUUGUAUAAUACCUUGGAUCAUUUACUUCUCUUCAUGGCAUCUGAUAGCUGGUAAAAUUGCAUGAUUGUGAACCUGCUAUCUGCCAACAGAAUACAAAUUUAAUCAACAUUGUUCUUUCAUUUCUUUAUUAUUCACUUUGCUGCGGAAAUCCCAUGCUUUUCCUUGGACCAGCGAUACUUAUUCACUUGGUUGUCUUUGCAAGGGAAAACCAUGACUAGACUGUUGCAUUAGGUGACCUUGUUCAUCAUCAUGUGGACUUUCUAUGGGAAUAGAUAGAAGUUCAAAU
rnacentral:misc_RNA from 1 species